rnacentral:rRNA from 1 species
GAGUCACGUAUGAAUAAUACGUGGCGAACGGCUCAGUAACACGUAGUCAACAUACCCAAAGGACGUGGAUAACCUCGGGAAACUGAGGAUAAACCGCGAUAGGUCAUAAGUACUGGAAUGUUUUAUGGCUCAAAUCUACAUGGCCUCUGGGUUGGACUGCGGCCGAUCAGGCUGUUGGUGAGGUAAUGGCCCACCAAACCUGUUACCGGUACGGGCUCUGAGAGGAGGAGCCCGGAGAUGGGCACUGAGACAAGGGCCCAGGCCCUAUGGGGCGCAGCAGGCGCGAAACCUCUGCAAUAGGCGAAAGCUUGACAGGGUUACUCUGAGUGAUUCCCGCUAAGGGAAUCUUCUGGCAUCUCUAAAAACGAUGCAGAAUAAGGGGUGGGCAAGUCUGGUGUCAGCCGCCGCGGUAAUACCAGCACCCCGAGUGGUCGGGACGAUUAUUGGGCCUAAAGCAUCCGUAGCCGGUCUUGCAAGUCUUCCGUUAAAUCCACCUGCUUAACAAAUGGGCUGCGGAAGAUACUACAAGACUAGGAGGCGGGAGAGGCAAGCGGUACUCAGUGGGUAGGGGUAAAAUCCUCUGAUCCAUUGAAGACCACCAGUGGCGAAGGCGGCUUGCCAGAACGCGCUCGACGGUGAGGGAUGAAAGCUGGGGGAGCAAACCGGAUUAGAUACCCGGGUAGUCCCAGCUGUAAACGAUGCAGACUCGGUGAUGGGCCGGCUUCAUGCCGGCUCAGUGCCGCAGGGAAGCCGUUAAGUCUGCCGCCUGGGGAGUACGGUCGCAAGACUGAA